GAUGAACGCUGGCGGCGUGCUUAACACAUGCAAGUCGAACGAUGAAAGCAGGAGCUUGCUCCUGUGGAUCAGUGGCGAACGGGUGAGUAACACGUGAGCAAUCUGCCCUGGACUCUGGGAUAAGCGUUGGAAACGACGUCUAAUACCGGAUACGAGGCGUGGGGGCAUCCCCAACGCCUGGAAAGAACUUCGGUCCAGGAUGAGCUCGCGGCCUAUCAGGUAGUUGGUGAGGUAACGGCUCACCAAGCCUACGACGGGUAGCCGGCCUGAGAGGGUGACCGGCCACACUGGGACUGAGACACGGCCCAGACUCCUACGGGAGGCAGCAGUGGGGAAUAUUGCACAAUGGGCGCAGGCCUGAUGCAGCAACGCCGCGUGAGGGACGACGGCCUUCGGGUUGUAAACCUCUUUUAGCAGGGAAGAAGCGAAAGUGACGGUACCUGCAGAAAAAGCACCGGCUAACUUCGUGCCAGCCGCCGCUGUAAAAC
rnacentral:rRNA from 1 species